UAACCGGCGAUUUCCGAAUGGGGAAACCCAGUGUGAUUCGUCACACUAUCAUUAACUGAAUCCAUAGGUUAAUGAGGCGAACCGGGGGAACUGAAACAUCUAAGUACCCCGAGGAAAAGAAAUCAACCGAGAUUCCCCCAGUAGCGGCGAGCGAACGGGGAGCAGCCCAGAGCCUGAAUCAGUGUGUGUGUUAGUGGAAGCGUCUGGAAAGGCGCGCGAUACAGGGUGACAGCCCCGUACACAAAAAUGCACAUAUUGUGAGCUCGAUGAGUAGGGCGGGACACGUGGUAUCCUGUCUGAAUAUGGGGGGCCCAUCCUCCAAGGCUAAAUACUCCUGACUGACCGAUAGUGAACCAGUACCGUGAGGGAAAGGCGAAAAGAACCCCGGCGAGGGGAGUGAAAAAGAACCUGAAACCGUGUACGUACAAGCAGUGGGAGCACGCUUAGGCGUGUGACUGCGUACCUUUUGUAUAAUGGGUCAGCGACUUAUAUUCUGUAGCAAGGUUAACCGAAUAGGGGAGCCGAAGGGAAACCGAGUCUUAACUGGGCGUUAAGUUGCAGGGUAUAGACCCGAAACCCGGUGAUCUAGCCAUGGGCAGGUUGAAGGUUGGGUAACACUAACUGGAGGACCGAACCGACUAAUGUUGAAAAAUUAGCGGAUGACUUGUGGCUGGGGGUGAAAGGCCAAUCAAACCGGGAGAUAGCUGGUUCUCCCCGAAAGCUAUUUAGGUAGCGCCUCGUGAAUUCAUCUCCGGGGGUAGAGCACUGUUUCGGCAAGGGGGUCAUCCCGACUUACCAACCCGAUGCAAACUGCGAAUACCGGAGAAUGUUAUCACGGGAGACACACGGCGGGUGCUAACGUCCGUCGUGAAGAGGGAAACAACCCAGACCGCCAGCUAAGGUCCCAAAGUCAUGGUUAAGUGGGAAACGAUGUGGGAAGGCCCAGACAGCCAGGAUGUUGGCUUAGAAGCAGCCAUCAUUUAAAGAAAGCGUAAUAGCUCACUGGUCGAGUCGGCCUGCGCGGAAGAUGUAACGGGGCUAAACCAUGCACCGAAGCUGCGGCAGCGACGCUUAUGCGUUGUUGGGUAGGGGAGCGUUCUGUAAGCCUGCGAAGGUGUGCUGUGAGGCAUGCUGGAGGUAUCAGAAGUGCGAAUGCUGACAUAAGUAACGAUAAAGCGGGUGAAAAGCCCGCUCGCCGGAAGACCAAGGGUUCCUGUCCAACGUUAAUCGGGGCAGGGUGAGUCGACCCCUAAGGCGAGGCCGAAAGGCGUAGUCGAUGGGAAACAGGUUAAUAUUCCUGUACUUGGUGUUACUGCGAAGGGGGGACGGAGAAGGCUAUGUUGGCCGGGCGACGGUUGUCCCGGUUUAAGCGUGUAGGCUGGUUUUCCAGGCAAAUCCGGAAAAUCAAGGCUGAGGCGUGAUGACGAGGCACUACGGUGCUGAAGCAACAAAUGCCCUGCUUCCAGGAAAAGCCUCUAAGCAUCAGGUAACAUCAAAUCGUACCCCAAACCGACACAGGUGGUCAGGUAGAGAAUACCAAGGCGCUUGAGAGAACUCGGGUGAAGGAACUAGGCAAAAUGGUGCCGUAACUUCGGGAGAAGGCACGC
rnacentral:rRNA from 1 species